rnacentral:rRNA from 1 species
UACGGGGGGGGGCAAGCGUUGUUCGGAAUUACUGGGCGUAAAGGGCUCGUAGGUGGCCAACUUAAGUCAGGACGUGAAAUCCCCAGGCUCAACUUGGGAACUGCGUCUGAUACUGGAUGGCUUGAAUUCGGGAGAGGGAUGCAGAAUUCCAGGUGUAGCGGUGAAAUGCGUAGAUAUCUGGAGGAAUACCGGUGGCGAAGGCGGCAUCCUGGACCGAGAUUGACACUGAUGAGCGAAAGCUAGGGGAGCAAACGGGAGUUAGAAAACCCUGGUA